UUCUGAAAUUUUAUUUCACUUUUGAGUGAAAUACAGCUUGCUUGCCAACUAUUAAUUAUACUCUGAAAUCUUGGUUGUGUGUAUACAGUUUCUCAAAAUUGUUCUUCAGGAAUUUGAAGCUCUGUUUUGGCUGUUCAUAUUCUGCUAUGGAAAUACUUAGGACUUUGUUUACCUUCAGCGAUGAUGCUGUGUGUGAAGUCCCAGAAUUGACGGUUCUCUUAAAACACUUUACAGCCCACUGGGUGAACAGUAGAUGUCUCCAGGAUCCUUGAGUAACUCGGGAGUAACUUGGGAGUGGAAGUACAAUGUAGGGGGCAAUGCAGAAACACAUAAUUUUUACAGGUUUUAGAAGAAUUUUGAGGAAGGAACAUCAUUUCUGCAGUCUGAUGAGUUAUGGCGAGAGGCCUCCCCUGCAGAGCUGUGGGAAGCUGGCGGGGACAGGGGCCGGCCAGAAGAACUUGUGUGCUUGGCAGGGCUAGGAUUGGGUAAAGUCCUACAGUACUGAACAUGAGGAAAGGUUGGAUGACAACAUGGGCUCUGCAUUGGUAACAACUUGUAUAAGAGAGUGUGAGAGUAUAAGAGACAGCAGAAUUCUUCAAGUCAAC